UUCGAGCUGCCUUGAAAAAAGCUUGGAAAACGGGAGCCAGAGCAGAAGUAAAUAUUAAGAUUGAAAUUGAUUUAGAAAACGAAAUAAAUCCUCGAGGUUGAACUACAUUGAAAUUUAGACGACACCUGUUGUAAAACGAAGUUAUCUCGUUGGUUUACAGUGGAUUAAAAAAAACAGUCUGGCUAUCUACAAUAGCAGUGGAUGUUACCACACAGACUGUUUUUUUUAGGCUUCUUCUGGUCACGGAUCCCUGGUGUUCUUUCCACCGAAGCUGGAUUCCUCUCUUUUUGCCCUGGUGCCUGGUUCCCUGGUCCACUGCCUCAACUAACAGCGCUGCAAUGGUUCCAUUGGGUGGUUUGAUAUGGAUGCUGAGUAUUGAAGGGGUGGUUGGACAGUUAAAAUAUUUGAGUGCACUCAAGGAGGUCUCCAAGCUGGCAGGCACACUGCGGACCACUCGUGCUGCCGGAUCUCCAAACUACAGAUCCUUUGACAGGAAAAAAGAAGGUGAGAGUGAAGCUUGGACACACACAAAACACGGGCAAAGACAAAACAAUCUACUCAUGACGACAGACAGAAAGGCAGAGACAUAUAAGGGAGUGGGGGAACGAGCGACAGGUGGGGAAGAAUCAACCCGUGAUCUGCGCACCCCCGCCACAAUCAGCGGAUUGCCCAGACCACGAGCUACAGAACAGACAGGACAACACAGACUGCAGGGGAAGCUGAGAAGGCACCCUGCACCGUGACAAAAAAUUGAAUAUUGUGAAAAGAUUCAAUAUUGAAGACUGGUGCCACACUCUAAUCAGCUAAUUAACUCAAAAUACCUGCAAAGGCCUUUAAAUUAUCUUUCAGUCUAGUUCUGUAGGGUACACAAUCAUGAGGAAGACUGCUGACUUGACAGUUGUCCAAAAGACGACCAUUGACACCUUGCACAAGGAGGGCAGGACACAAAAGGUCAUUGCAAAAGAGGCUGGCUGUUCACAGAGCUCUGUGUCCAAGCACAAUAAUAGAGAGUCGAAGGGAAAGGAAAAGAUGUGGUAGAAAAAAAAGUGUACAAGCAAUAGGGAUAACCGCACCCUGGAGAGGAUUGUGAAACAAAACCCAUUCAUAAAUGUGGGGGAGAUUCACAAAGAGUGGACUGCAGCUGGAGUCAGUGCUUCAAAAACCACUACACACAGAUGUAUGCAAGGCAUGGGUUUCAGCUGUCACAUUCCUUGUGUCAUUCCUUGUGUUGAGGUCCAGUGUUAAGUUUCCACAAUCAGUGAUGGUUUGGGGUGCCAUGUCAUCUGCUGGUGUUAGUCCACUGUGUUUUCUGAGGUCCAGGGUCAGCACAGCUGUAUACCAGGAAGUUUUAGAGCACUUCAUGCUUCCUGCUGCUGACCAACUUUAUGGAGAUCCAGAUUUCAUUUUCCAACAGGACUUGCAACCUGUGCCAAAGCUACCAGUACCUGGUUUAAGGACCAUGGCGUCCCUGUUCUUAAUUGGCCAGCAAACUCACCUGACCUUAACCCCAUAGAAAAUCUAUGGAGUAUUGUGAGGAUGCGGUAUGCCAGACCCGAGAAUGCAGAAGAGCUGCAUUUUCAUACUUUUUAGUUGGCCAAGAUUUCUAAUAAUCCUUUCUUUUUAUAGGUCUUAAGUUAUAUUGUGAUUUUCUGAGAUACUGAAUUUGGGAUUUUUCUUAGUUUCAGUUAUAAUCAUAAAAAUUAAAAGAAAUAAACAUUUGAAAUAUACCAGUCUGUGUAAUGAAUGAAUAUAAUAUACAAGUUUCACUUUUUGAAUGGAAUUAGUGAAAUAAAUCAACUUUUAGAUGAUAUUCUAAUCAUAUGACCAGCACCUGUAGUAUAUUCUUUUAUACAUACAUACAUAUAUAUACAUAUAUACAUAUAUAUGCUGAAGACAUCUGCAGUGGAUUCAAUAAUGUUCCUCCACAAAAACAUGUAGGCUUAGCCUAAUCUCUGUGAGGAAGGUUUUUCAAAUGAUAAAUAAAUAUUAAUUGAGUAUUAAGUGCAUAAUUUGGACAGAGUAGCCUAUAUAUGCUAAUAUUGGCAUGAUCUUUUAUUAAAUGUCAGCUGCUAGUGGAUGAAGCAAAUCCGGCGGAGCAUUUAUCUUAAUUUCAUUAUUGGCAAAUACUUAUCUUAAUUUAAAAUUUAUUUUAAUUUAAUUUGUUAAAAAAGACUCGUUUUUAUUGGUGCGUUGGUCUAUUUAUAGGCUAAAUGAGCCUAUGUCUAUUUAGAGUGCUGAGAUGUUAAGAUAUCACAGAGGACUUAUUUUAUUUCUUUAUUUCAACUUCCAAGUGGUCUAGUCUACGUUAGAUAUGAAUAAAUUAUGUUAAAACAUGUAUAAAUGACUCAUUCUUGACAAAAGGCAAUAGAGCUGUGUGUCUGUGCACAUCUGAAUAAUGUCAGGCUGUAAACGGGUUUGGGCUUUUAAAAAGCUGUCAAUCAAAAUGUACUUGUCGGGCUCAGGCCGAAACCUGUCGGGCCUAACUUUUAUGGCCCGUUUACAGUUCUAAGAUAAAUGUCGAGCUUGUGCUUAUAUUUUAUCUACACAAUAUUUUAGAUUUGACACAUUUAAAUAGUGUGCAGUAUUAUUUAUAUAAUAUGAAUUUGUGGUUUACUUUGCAUCGGAGCAUGGUAGCCUAAUGAGCUAGGCUUGCAUGUUUUAUAAAUUAUUUUGUUUAUUUUAGUAAAACGUGAGGCACUGUAUAAUUUUGCUCCCAU